GAUGAACGCUGGCGGCGUGCUUAACACAUGCAAGUCGAACGAUGAAGCCCAGCUUGCUGGGUGGAUUAGUGGCGAACGGGUGAGUAACACGUGAGUAACCUGCCCUUAACUCUGGGAUAAGCCUGGGAAACUGGGUCUAAUACCGGAUAGGAGCGCCUACCGCAUGGUGGGGGUUGGAAAGAUUUAUCGGUUUUGGAUGGACUCGCGGCCUAUCAGCUUGUUGGUGGGGUAAUGGCUCACCAAGGCGACGACGGGUAGCCGGCCUGAGAGGGUGACCGGCCACACUGGGACUGAGACACGGCCCAGACUCCUACGGGAGGCAGCAGUGGGGAAUAUUGCACAAUGGGCGAAAGCCUGAUGCAGCGACGCCGCGUGAGGGAUGACGGCCUUCGGGUUGUAAACCUCUUUCAGUAGGGAAGAAGCGAAAGUGACGGUACCUGCAGAAGAAGCACCGGCUAACUACGUG
rnacentral:rRNA from 1 species